rnacentral:lncRNA from 1 species
UCCAACCUCAUUUAAAGGCUCACCUGAUUAAGUCAGGCCUGCCCAGGAUAAUUUCCUGCUUGAUUAACUCAAUAUCAAGUAAUUAGAGACUUUAAUCUGUAAAACCCCUUCUGCCAUAUAAAGUAACUUAAUCAUGGGGGAACUAUCCCAUCAUAUUCAGGUACAGAGGAUAUGAAGCCAUGUUUGUUUGCCAAUGAGAAUGAUGCAAUAGAGGGAGAGAUUGAUGCUAGACAGAAUUGUACGAACAAAGUCCUUGAGAAGGCAGGAUGGCUCCAGAGUGCAAGUGGAGAGGGUGGCCUUGUAACAGACAAGAAGGUGGAAUCUGUAGUAUUACAGAUAGUUGGUGGUACUGGCAUCCUGUUCCUCAGAGCAGAAAGUAAACUCCAGAGGAGUGGGAAGCCUCUAUUCCCCUGAAAACUUGAAGACUUUAUUCGUGGAGGCUCUGAAGUUAAGCAUGGUUAAGUUAAGUAAAGGCAAUAAAACUGAAGCCAAUUGAGACAGCCUCAAAGGGUAGAAUUAUCUUUUCUGUAGGGGAAGCUAAUGACUACCGCUUAUUGUGUGCCAAUAUGUGCUGAAAAUGGUAUUAGGUAAUUAAAGCUUAUUUCUAUUCUUAUAGUAAAC